ensembl:lncRNA
CUUGAAAUCACUGUCUCUACUUCUUGUUUUCUGUCACCCACAUCUGCCCCAGAGCCUGCAGUUUCCAACUCCGUGCAGACCUAAUGUGGAAUCCUCAUCUCCGCCAGAGUGGUUUCCUUUCUGCUGAGAUAUCUCAAGCUUUAGUGGGAUAGAAAGGACAGAUUGGAGAUAGUUACCCAUAUGGGAAAUGAUGACAUCCCAUUUGUCAGCUCCUAUGUUGGUAACCUUCUUCCCAUCCCCUCCACCUGCCUAGCAGUACCAUAACAUCCAAACAUAAGGUUAUCUGCCAAGAGCAUCUGCCUUGCUCUUCAGUCAGGCAGCAUGCCCGUUCUGGAGCCCACCCUCUCCAUCCUUGUUCCAGCACGUUGUGUUCAGAUUCUUUGCUCUCACAUUUCACUUCUGUCUCAGUUUGUCUCCUACACCUUCUGUUCCAUUAACAGCUGCCCCCACCUAUCUUUCCACCUUGAGCUCCCUAUCAUGUCCCCUCUGAACCCGAGGCAGAGCAAAUCUAUAGUGCUUUCUCCAGAGACCCACCUCUGCUUUCACGGUUCACCAAUAAACUGUUUCUAGAAAGCUCUCCCUGGCCUUCUGGGGCAGAGCUUGAGCCCUUCUGCUGGUUCUGUGCUAGCUUACACUUUGGUGUGGCACUGUGUGUGACCAUUUCACACGCCAUUUCACAAGUGCCUGGGGAGACUGUCACGGGAGCUGCUCCCAGUCUCUAGCUCAGUUCCCCCAUCUGAACACUGAGGUCCUUUUCCUCCAUCUGAGCAGGCAAAUCCCACUUCAUAGCCUGUUUCUGGCCAGCCAGCUGCCAUGGUUUGAGCCACUUCUUCCUGGAGAAGUUGAUCUGUGUCUCAGCCAUAAGUGCUGCACACUCAACAAGUAAUUCCUUCCUGUUCUUGUGUAUGGUCCAAGGUAAGAUAACACCAGGGAUUCUGAAAGGUUCAGAAGCCAAUACAGGGCCCAAACCGUGUGUCUGACAGGACAUAGACAAAUUUUCUUUUGGGAACAAAUACAUGUGUUUAUCUGAGCCCAAGUGGGGGGCUCUCCUUGUGGAGAGCCCAGAGCCCUAGUGCACUGUCUUGCUUGCCCCCACUCUCUGCCUGGGGAGCAGGAGGGCCCUCCCUUGGAGGAGGAGCAAUGACUUUACCUUGCAUUGUCCAGGACUGGCUCAUGAAUAUUAAAAUACUGAAAUUAACUUGUUUUCUGUGCAUUCUGCUCUCCUGACAAGAAAAUCCUGCUAGAAACCCCUGCACAGGCAGUCUAACUGUGUUGAAUUGGACCCUCGCUGUGAGGGGAUUAUAUAUUCUGAUUGGGGCUGAGUUUGCAAUUAUUUUCUCUGCCACACCAAAGACCUUUACUGCAGAGCUACAAACCAGUUAUAGGAACAUGAAAUGCUUUGACUUCUUCACUAGGGAAACAUUAAUCCAAUCACAGGUUAUGUCCAUUACAGACUAUGGCAAUAUUGUAUACAGGAAUUCCCAGGAGAAGAUUCUACAAAAAUUGGAAUCUCUCUAUAACCAUGUUAUGAGAUUUACUGGUGUGGAUAAAAUGGGCAGAGUUAAAAUUACCAGGCUGGCUAUCUCUAAAAGACAGGUGAAGUCUGCUGGCUAUCAUUGCUUCAUAAUAUUACAAAUGGAAAAGCCCUGAAGUAAUUGAAUAACACAUCUGCAGAAAAAAAACCUUGUGAACUGCUAUAACCUAAAGAUAGACUGCGAGGAAACAAUGUGCGUACAGCACCCGCUUAAAAGAAGAAAGAUGCUUUCCUUACCUGGUGCAGGAAGAUACUGCAAAUAUAGAUACAGAUUCUCUCUCUCCCUCCUAUAUUAUAUGUGUGUGUGCUUUAUAUGUGUAUGUAUGUCUAUCUCUUUUCACAUAAAAUAAGUUAAAGCAGUUCUCUCCGCAGCCUGAAGCAUGGUGCUGGAUGGUGACAAUUCAUAAGCAGAGCUCACUGCAUUGUUUUGUACCAGAGAUCGUUAAAAACAUUUGACAUGGUUGGCAAAGGAGCUGGCUUUUGUCCCUUGCACAUCCCUCUGUCCUUGCAGUGGAAAAGAUUUCAAAGCACUUUGCAAGAGCUGAUGGUUUUCCUUGUGUGCUUUCUUAUCAGUGUGCUGUGGGCUAUAGUGCCAGUGUAACAGCAGAGGGCAACUUCAUGGGGUCUGUGCAAGUCCAGGGCUAGCAGGGCAAUGUGUGCUGACACAGCUACUGCUCUACGGUUAGAUGCAAUCUUUCUGUGUAAGCACACCCUGUUUGCACCCUUCAGAAGGGGAUGAUGGCCCACAGCCUGCUGACUUGCUCACCAUCUCCAUGUAAAUGCAACCAGAUUGUCUUCGGGCAUGGAAGAGCUGGAAGGCUGCCACAGGUCCCAGCACAGUUGGCCAUCAUCUCCUCUGUUCUCUGGAGUUUCUAUUUGAAUCAACAUCCAAAGACACAGAAACACAGAAACUGCUAAAGGACAUACUCAAAUUUGAGGUAGAGUCCAAGCCAGGAGGUCAAUGAAAUUCAAGGUGGGGGCAUCCUUGAAUCACCUAUGCCCACGUCAGCUGAGAAGCAGCCAGAGUGCUUCUCCCCUAGGACUGCUGUACUUUGUCCUACAUCAGGCCUUUGCAAGUCACAUCAGAAUGUCCAGAGUUAUCCUCCCACUGCUGCGAGGGUUCACUGCCCCUAUGAAUCAGACACAGCACACAGGCAAAAAAAAUAACGUUGCCAUCCCAACAGCUUGCAGUCAAAAUCAGAGAAGAGAAAAAGCAGAGUGAUAAAACAAACAGAAGAGAAAAGGCAGUUCAAUUGGUAACGUAGCAAUGUUAGGUGAUGUUCCAUAACCCCGAUCUGUAAGGACAGCUCCUGCCCUCACUGCGCAGCCAUUCAGCUCUGAUACCUGUUGAAGCUCCAGAGGCAAAUCAUCUGAACUCUCGGACCACUGAGCUAUCACUGCUGCAGCUAGAGCCAUCAGUGCCAACAUUCUGCCUUCACUGUGGCACAGGGGCGCCAUGUUGGACACUGCCCCACCAGCUGCUCCGCAUUCCUGCAGGGCCACAAUCUCAUCUCUGGGAUGGCAGAAGGACUGGCAAGAACAGUUGGAAGAUUCUGCUUCCUCCACCGCCAUUGUCUUGCGUUGUUCUGCCGACCUGACAAUGUUCUUUUCUUUGCUUUUUAAAUACAAAGCCAUAAAUGCAUAAGGAAUAAAACGCUCUAAUUUAUUCCACAAAAGUGUUCAUCAAGUGAGAGACAGGACUCUGGGAAAAGAUUAAGAGCUUACAUUUUUCAUUUGACUUAUUUCGCAUAAAAUUUCAUAGAGGAUAAAAUGAUGGGAGGCAUAGAAGCAAUGAUAUUUCUGUUUUAUCUCUGUCUAAGGACCAUAAAUCUUUCUGAAGUAUCAUUAAUUAUAGCAGCGCAAUUCACAACGCUAUUGUUAAGGGUCUAUCAGCAGUCCCAUUAUAAACCCCCUAUUUUCAGGGGUUUAUAACUUGGUAAGAAUAAUUUUGUUUCAGGCAAAAACUUUGCUGGGGCAACGCCUCCAUCUAAGAUAAUUUAAAAAAAAAAUUAAAACACAAAAGAAAGUAUUACCUCUUUUGAAUUGAUUAACGGAGAGCCCAGGAACUUUCUAGGGGUAUAAAUCUAAUACUGUAUUGGCUGAUUGAAUCUGUACCAUUUGUGAAGUCAUAAGACUGAAUGCAUUGAAGUUAUCUCUUAGAUGAAUUUAGAUCAUUCCUUUACAAGGAAAGUUUCCAAUUACCAUGGCUGAAUUCAAGAUCUGGACUAUUCCUCUAGUGGCUGUAAUCAAAUCAGAUUUGAUUUCUUCCUUAGCUGAAGCCAGUCAAGAAAGAAUUUAGCAGACCUAGAAAACAGCUUACAUGUUAAGAAUAUUUCAGUGUCUUUGGGUAGCUUGCCUUGUUUUUUUUUCUCUGCUGCAGGCAUGACUUACAUCAAGAAUCAGUGAAGGGCAGUGGUCAUAGCCAACAAAGUGAGUUUUGGCUUAGCAGCAACACAGAAGAUUCACUCUGCCAUGGUUGAGCCACAGUGAAAUGUGCCGAGAGAUGCUCAGUUUCUCCAGAUGCAUGGUGAAAAAUGCUCUUCAGUAGGCAUGAGUGAGACUGGGAGGACACAGGGAAGAAAGGUCACGGCUUACCCUACAGAACAAAAUGACCAGGCAGCCUUUUGCCCGUAGUAACUUGUAGGUUCACCAGGGAAGCCUGAGAGCUCUGCCCAAUUUAGUCCUUGCAGGUUAGGAAAGAGCAAGAUGAAUGUAAUACACCACGCCACAACGGGAUCGACAGAGCCAUUGUGGUCUUUUUCUAAAGCAAUGGAUAUUAAUGAAUGCUAACUUCUGAGCAACUUCUUUCCUGCUUUAAAGUAGAAAGAUUAGAUGAAAAUGUAUUUUGUGAAGAGUGUGCUGACACCCUCAGGUAAUCUCCAUCCUCUGUCCUCAUCAAUAAUCUAACAGUCUACCUUCCCUGUUACAUUACUGUCUGCAGUAAUGCAAUUCACUUUGGUCCCCUUAGAUCCUAUUAGAAUCUCUCACAUUACAAAAUUCUUCCAGCUCUGCUCUAUCGUGCACUGGGAUUGUUUAGUCUUAACUUUUUCUGGCUGUUUUCCUUGGCUACAAUUCUUUGCACAGGAACAGACUUUUGUGAAUCGCACAUUUAACCUAGCAGUGAGUGAGAAGAUCAAAAAAAAGUAAUGCAUGUGGGUAUUGUCCUACAGGGUCUCUAAAGCAUUUUGAUUCUCCUUUGAGCACUGGUGAAUGUAGCUUGUUAUAAUGAGUUCCACUAUCUAAAGUACUUUCUUCUAUCAGUUUUGAUUGUGUUGUCUUUUAAUUUCAUUGCCUGUGUCCUUUGAAAGGAUAAAUAGGCACGGGUAAAUAGAAAAACACAUUUCUACAAAUUACUCAAUCCCUUAUGUACCUUUUUUGUAUUACGUCUUACUUUUCUCCUCUCCAAAGUAAAGCAGUCUUAAUGUUUUGUUUGUUUGCUUUUUCUAAUAUGGAAAUCUUUCCAUAUCUCAUAAUUUGUUGAUGUUAUUUAAACAGAUGUCUUCCUGGAAUUCUCCACAGUUAUUUAUGACAAGACAAUCACACUCAGUGAUGUUAUCUAAAAUAGAAGCACUUGAUAUACGUAGGCUGAGGUCUUUUUUGGCUGCUCCAACAACGUUAAGGUCUUAAAGGAGGCAGAAAUGGCUCUCUGACAACACUCUUAAAAGAACUGCAGUAGGAGGAAAAAUGUGGAAAGCUCCUUUAUUUCCUGCAUUCUUAUAGCCAGAAUAAAUGUGAAAUACCACUUUGUACCCAGCGUAAUGCUUCCUAAGUUUAAGGAGAGAAACAUUCAUGGCUUCUUAACCAGAAGCAAAUCUCUGACACACUCAGU